rnacentral:rRNA from 1 species
UACGUAGGGUGCGAGCGUUAAUCGGAAUUACUGGGCGUAAAGCGUGCGCAGGCGGUUUUGUAAGACAGGCGUGAAAUCCCCGAGCUCAACUUGGGAAUGGCGCUUGUGACUGCAAGGCUAGAGUAUGUCAGAGGGGGGUAGAAUUCCACGUGUAGCAGUGAAAUGCGUAGAGAUGUGGAGGAACACCGAUGGCGAAGGCAGCCCCCUGGGUCAAAACUGACGCUCAUGCACGAAAGCGUGGGGAGCAAACAGG